GGGACCUCCCUGGAACCACACAGGCCAUGGGUGAGUAAACAAGAGGCGCUUGAACCUGGAGCCCCCCGGCCUGAACCUGGAGCUGUUCUUACCGAACAAAUAUUAAUCAUGGCAAUUGGGAAAUAACUGAGCACCAACCCUGGCCCAGGCAUUCAACAUCUUGCCAUCCUGAGGUGGUGGCUGAUGCCUGGAAUCCCAGCACUUUGGGAGGCCGAGGCAGGUGGAUUGCUUGAGCCCAGGAGUGCGAGAACAGCCUGGGCAACAUGGUAAAACCCCGUCUCUACUAAAAAUACAAAAGUUAGCUGGGUGGGGUGGCAUAUGCCUGUAAUCCCAGCUACUCGGGAGGCUGAGGCAGGAGAAUCGCUUGAACCCAGGAGAUGGAGGUUGCAGUGAGCGGAGAUCGAGCCACUGCACUCCAGCCUGGGUGACAGAGAGAGACUCUGUCUCAAAAACAAAACAAAACAAAACUGUAUUUUACAACUACAUUGACAUAAAGACAAAUAUAUUAAUAUUAUACACAAAAAUGUUUCCUUCAACCCAAGAGUUCAUUUUUUUCCCUUUGGAUUUUAAAAGAAGUGAAAACAUCAACCUAGGGACCCCUAAAAGCACUGUGAGCCUGAGACACUGGGCAUUUUGGGUCUGAUGGAGAAGUCAGCCCUGCUAGAACCCAAGUCUCCCAGCCUGUACAGU
rnacentral:lncRNA from 1 species